rnacentral:rRNA from 1 species
AUUGAACGCUGGCGGCAUGCCUUACACAUGCAAGUCGAACGGCAGCGGGGGAGAAGCUUGCUUUUCCUGCCGGCGAGUGGCGAACGGGUGAGUAAUACAUCGGAACGUGCCCUGUAGUGGGGGAUAACUAGUCGAAAGAUUAGCUAAUACCGCAUACGACCUGAGGGUGAAAGUGGGGGACCGCAAGGCCUCAUGCUCUCGGAGCGGCCGAUGUCUGAUUAGCUAGUUGGUGGGGUAAAGGCCUACCAAGGCGACGAUCAGUAGCUGGGCUGAGAGGACGAUCAGCCACACUGGGACUGAGACACGGCCCAGACUCCUACGGGAGGCAGCAGUGGGGAAUUUUGGACAAUGGGCGAAAGCCUGAUCCAGCAAUGCCGCGUGUGUGAAGAAGGCCUUCGGGUUGCAAAGCACUUUUGUCCGGAAAGAAAUGGCUCUGGUUAAUACCUGGGGUCGAUGACGGUACCGGAAGAAUAAGGACCGGCUAACUACGUGCCAGCCGCCGCGGUAA